rnacentral:rRNA from 1 species
AGCGAACGCUGGCGGCAGGCUUAACACAUGCAAGUCGAGCGGGCACUUCGGUGUCAGCGGCAGACGGGUGAGUAACACGUGGGAACGUACCCUUUGGUUCGGAAUAACGCUGGGAAACUAGCGCUAAUACCGGAUACGCCCUUUUGGGGAAAGGCUUGCUGCCGAAGGAUCGGCCCGCGUCUGUUUAGCUAGUUGGUGGGGUAAUGGCCUACCAAGGCGACGAUCAGUAGCUGGUCUGAGAGGAUGAUCAGCCACACUGGGACUGAGACACGGCCCAGACUCCUACGGGAGGCAGCAGUGGGGAAUAUUGGACAAUGGGCGCAAGCCUGAUCCAGCCAUGCCGCGUGAGUGAUGAAGGCCUUAGGGUUGUAAAGCUCUUUUGUCCGGGACGAUAAUGACGGUACCGGAAGAAUAAGCCCCGGCUAACUUCGUG